rnacentral:pre_miRNA from 1 species
UUUAAGUAUUGUUGUGAGUUUUUUAUCCAGCAUUUGACCGUUCGUCUUAUUUGAAAAAAAUUUUAUGAUUAGUAUUUUUACUGUUUUUAGAUGAUAAAACGUGAAUAAUAUGUGACGCAUGACUUUUUUUAUUUUUUUAUAUUUCUUGUAAAUAAUACGGGUGAUUAAACGUUAGACACGAAACCACAACUCCACUCAAA